CGGCUGAUGGACUCUCUGGAGCGGCGAAGCCAGCGUCCCACCACCUGCUCUACUCUGCUGGUCCUGCGAGACGGUGAGCGACUGCGAUCCCGCUCCUCCAUUUAGCUACACACAGGGUGAAAGAUCACCAUUGGGCCACUAUUAAUUGCAAAGAAAAAAUGUAAUAAUUAUAACAUUUCAAUGAUAAUUAAACAAAUCACUAAUAUCUGACAAUGUAUAUCAAGUCAAGUCUGCUUUAUUGUCAAUUCUUCCACAUGUACAGUACAUACAUACAGAGAAUUGAAACUGCGUUACUCUCAGACCCAUGGUGCAUACAGAUAACACUAACAGUAGAGCCUAAAAAUACAGAUAGAUACAGAUAAAAUUUAAAAUCUAAAAUACAACUAUACAAAUAAGGGCAUGUAAAAAAAUAAUAAAAAUAAAGUUAAAUAAAGCAGCGCAAGGCACAUGGCAGAUAGAGUGCAAACCAGUGAGGUGAACAAACAGUGCAGAUAAAGAUUGUAGUGCUAAAAAAAAAAACAAAAAAAAAUAAUAAAACAACAAAGAAAUAUAUAUAAGAGCACAUAUGCAGAAUAUGUGCUUUGUAUAUAUAUAUGCAAAUCAUUACAUAAUUUUGCAUGUUUUAAAACUUUUCUGUUUCACAUAUACAUGUUUAGUAUACUUUUUAGCCAAUCAGACACAACAUAUAUAUUCAAUCCAGCCAAUCAAAGUCUGCAAUAGAUGUCUUUAUGUCUAUGUCUAUGUCUAAAUGUCUAUUUUAAGGUCCAGUUUUCAUUAUUAACAAACCAUUAACUAUGACAUUUGCCUCAAUUUCUUAUCUGCUGCUUAAUAGUUAGUAAGGUAGUUGUUCAGUUUUGGUAUUGGGUAGGAUUAGGUAUGUAGAAUAUGGUCAUGCAGAAUAUGUGCUUUGUAAGUAAUAAUAAACAGCUAAUAUUUUAAUAUUAGGCAUGUCAGUAAGCAACUAGUUAAUAGUGAAAAUUAGUACUUAUACUAAAGUGUUACAGAAUGUCUGAGCCAAAUUUUGUGUAGAUGGUGCACAAUUUCUCUGUCCACUUUCGGUGAAGUUAUAUAAUGCUCUACAUGUAUUUGUUUGUUUACAGUGCCUUUCAGGUUGAGCAUAUAUACAUUUAUAAUGGUCAUAGCUGUGGCAAGCAAAAUGGUGUGUACAGCAAUAAACUGAUAAUGUUCUGAUAAUGUGUGGUCACCCUCUCUGAAACAUGGCCUGCCUUUAUAUCGUAGGUUCUGCAUAUUGUGGUGGUGUUGCAGAAUUGCUUUUUAUGAAGGGUUGAAGUUUAAUGUGCUUCUAUAUCAAGAAUGUCCCACUAGGGAAUGUGAGAGACAAUCUGGAGCCUCAUGGUCAAAAGAGAGAGGGACCAACAAAGACAAAGAGAUAAAUAAUAUACUGCGACAAAAAAGAGAAAGAGAUCCCAGGAGAUCAUGACUCAUGGUCACAUUAUGUUCUCAGAUUUCACAGGAUUUGGAACUCACUUUCCAUUUAUUUUACUGCUGUCAACACUGUUAUCAAUACUGCAUAAACCACAUCAAAGUCGUUAGACUGUGCAACAGCAAUUUUGACUUGCACAAUUGUGACCGCCUGCAUUUUCACUAGCCCUGGUUAUAAAUUUUUUUCUGAUCUUAUAAAAAAAAAAAAUGUAUAAAAAUACUUCAAUAAAGGGUUGGAGUUAAACCAACCAGCAAUACAACCAUAAUUUGCAGCAAAAAUAUAUUGUAAAAUCUAAGAAAAAUAGAAAGUUACAAGACUAUAUACUACCCCAAUAAUUAUAUCUAAACUUACAGCAUACUAUAGAUGAAUUGUAUUAUUCUCAUUGUGUCAAACUCUGUGUAGGGAGGAAACACGGAAUGCAUGAUACUCUUUUAAUUUCAAUAAUCCAAAGGGUAGACAGGAGAACAGGACACACGGGGAGACAUAUAAUCUCAGACAAACACAAACUGAAAGGACUAGGGCUUAUAACAUAAGGGCCAUCAGGGGAACACAGGUAAACAGAAUCAAUCCAAUUAAAAAUUAACACGAGGAGAACCUGGCUAAUGGGGAACAAAACACACACAGAUAGUCCAGAACCCUGACAUAUAUGGUGCCGGCGACCGACGCAGAGAUGUGGAUCCGGGAGGGCCCAGUGGAGCCGGAGCGACAGAGGACUGAGGUGGAGCCGAGAGGAUGAAGGAGCCUGAUGGAUCCAGAGGGACGAGGCAAAGUCAGAGGAGUGGAGUCCCGAGGCACAGGAUGGUCGAAGCCAGCCAAGGCGGAGCCGUAGGGACGAGGGAGCCAGGCAAGGCUUGUGGACUGCCGGGCCACGACGGAGCGGAGGGAACUAGGAGCCAUGGUGGAGCCGAUGGGUCAACGGGCCGAGGCGGAGUCCAGGCCUUGGAGGCUGGAGGCGGAGGUGAGGGAGACUCUGACCAUGGCGAUGCUGGAGGAUGACAGUCCUGCGGGGCUCGCACCGCAAUGAUGGUGGGCUGAGGGCGGGCAGAGGGGCUGCCAGAAGACAGCGGUGGAGGAGGCUGGAGCGGGUGGGAGGGCGGGCAUUUUUCGAGGAGCAGGCACAGGAGAAUCGGAAGCCCCCUCAGGGCUGGAAUAAGGAACCAUGGAUGAAGUAGGGCUGGACGGGACCAGCAGAGACAACGGAGAGAGGAGAGGGGGCAGUUCGAUCUCCAGAUCAGAUUCCAAGUCAAUAAGAUUGCAUUCCAUAGUCAGCUCAUACUCAGCCGCGGUGCAGGGGGCGGUGCUCCUCUCCACACUCACACUGUCUGCAGCACUCUCCCUCAUCGCUGGCGCUGUUGCCAGCUCACACACCUUGACUUACGCCUUCAGCAGCACUGGCUCCGCGCCGAUCCUCAGCACUGUCGCGCCAUGCGGCAAUGGCUCGUCUGUCACAGCAGGCUCUUGCUCUCCAUCAGCGACGGGCUCAGGCAUGUGCUCCACACAUUGGAGAGAUGGUGGGCAGGGCUCUGGAUCUGGAUAAGUGGCGACCCCUUUCUCGCCAGAGUCCACUCCACGAGGGCGGCAAAUUCCUCCCGAGGACCAUAUUCGGACAACAACGCUCUGCACUCGGCAUACAGGCAAGCAUCAUUGAAAGCGCAGAACGCGUCGUCCGGGUAGCUGGUAAUGUGAGCUAACAACAGGAACUGUCUGGUAUGGUCCUCGAGAGAUCAGCCUCCCUGCUCCAGCAGGAGGAGGAGGAGGAAUUUAGGGUGAAGGAGGAGAUCCUUAGAACACAACAGAAACAAAACACUGAGAAAAAAAUGGAAACAAAACAGAGGGUAGACAAAUGGAGGUAACUGUUUUGGUCAGAGAUUCUGUCACACUGUGUAGCGAGGACUGAGAAAACACAGAAUGCACGAUACUCGUCUUUUAAUUUCAAUAAUCCAAAGGGUAGACAGGAGCACAGGACACACAUGGGGAGAUGUAUAAUCUCCGACCAACACAAACUGAAAGGACUAGGGCUUAUAACAUAUGGGCAAUCAGGGGAACACAGAUCAACAGAAUCAAUACAAUUAACAAUUAACACUAGGAGAACCUGGUUAAUGGGGAGCAAAACACACACAGACAGUCCAGAACCCUGACACAUUGAAAAUUUUCAGUUUAUUGCAAAAUGUAUACAUACCUGUAGUUUAAGUGUCUCAAGCACUUGAUUACAUAACUCGGGGGAAGUUUUCAUUAGUGUCAAAUGCCAAUUUUCACUUCAUUAGAUUAAUAAGGUUACACGUUUUUGUUUAUCUAAAUGUUCAGUGAACAAUAGAUUUAAAUGAAGUUCAACUUGAUUUUUUUUAGCACCAUGGUGCAGCAUCACACUUCCAAAAAAUUACACGUUGCAGCCUCAACAUUCGCUGUCAGAAAUUAACACGACUGAUUAGAUGGCAACAAUAGGAAAUGUAAUAAUUGUUCUGAUUCUGAUGUACUUUCAAAUUGUUAUUUUUUCCCUGGUCUUCACAUUUUUUUAAAAAAACUAAACCAUAAUUUCUAACCAUAACAAUUCCCUUACCUAAGCAAUUAAGCCAAAAAAGGAGGAUCAUGAUAGCAUAAACAACAUGCUCUCUGAAGAGUUUCCAGAACUGUUUGUACCUCAGGCAAUUUGCAUUAUGAAUAAGGAAAAACACCUCUUAACCAUGAUGCUCCUGCCUUUUUUCCACUAUUCUACUCCAAAUCAGUUUCUAUUAUCAACUAUUCCAGUUAUUGCAUUAUUGUUGCCUGAUUAUAUAUUAAUAAUUUUAAUAAUAAAUGAUAAUAACAUAUUAGCAGCUAUUCUGCCUAACCACAUUGUUCACUAAAAACACCCCUCUAUUUAUUUUUAAAUACAAAGGUGUGGCAGGUAACCAUCAAUAGAUCCCUUUUUUUAAAUCACUCUUUGAAGCUAAGUUACUUAAAGAUACGACCUCCCCUCUCUCACCCUUCCGUCUUCAAGAGGAUUAAGCACCAAAUAAUGUUAAGGUUUCCCAAUACAAAUCUCAUUACUUUUUCAGCACUAUUUAAUAUAUUUUAUUCAUGAUAUAAGCUUCAGUGUUGUCUUGAUCAAUAGGGAUCUAAUGUACAUAUGGCUUCCUUUCACAGCAAAAAAACGGGCCAGUGGAAGACCUUAAAGGGUUACUCCACCCCAAAAUGAAAAUUCUCCAUGUCGUUCCAAACACGUUAAAACUUUGUUUGUCUUCGGAACACAAUUUAAGAUAUUUUGGAUGAAAACCGGGAGGCUUGUGACUGUCCCAUAGACUGCCAAGUAAAUUACACUGUCAAGCUCCAGAAAAGUAUAAAAAGCAUCAUCAGAAUAGUCCAUUGUCAGUGGUUCAACCGUAAUGUUAUGAAGCGAAGAGAAUUCUUUUUGUACACGAAGAAAACAAAAAUAACGACU
ensembl:lncRNA